AUGGUGUGCUUCACUUGUGGAGGCCCUGGCCACUAUGUUGGUAACUGCAUCCAGAAAAAAACUUGCUUCAUCUGUGGUCUGGAGGGUCACAAUGUCAAUAAUUGCGCAACCUAGGCACAGCCCCAUCCAGUUGCCACUUUCUUUGGGAGUUCUGCUCUGGGGCUGGGUUUUUACCACAUCAACGCCCCUGUGGGGACAGAAGCAAGUUGGCUGAACUUUAGGAACUGUGGAGAAGUUUGGAUCAUGAAGGGAGAAAUCAGCAAGUCAGAUUUGGUUAAGAAUCUCUCUGGUAUCUUUUGCAAAAACAAACAAUGGACAUGGCAGAUCAGGCCGCUGUCAGAGAAGAAGUUCCUGGUUAGAUUCCCACCCUGGAAAGAUGUUGAAGAAUUGAUUGAAUUCCCUGCCUUUGAUUUGCCCAUCGAUGGAGUUUCCAUGUCUGUGAAGUGGACCGGCUCAAUUGACCCGUUCAGCGAGCUUACUGAAGCAUGGGUAGUUGUUGAUGGUCUAUCCUCUAAAUGGUGCACAUAGAAAGUCCUUUCUCAAAUUGCUUCCUGCUUUGGAAUUCUUGUGGAUGUGGAUUGGAGUGGUCUGAUGAAGAGCUUCUAUGAGAAAGUGAGGGUCAAAAUUGCUUGUAGGGACCCAACUAAGAUCCCCUUUGAAAGGAUUAUGGAGAUGAGGAAAAAACUUUAUAUCUUAUCCUUUACUCUGGAAGGCUUUGACCUGAUAGGGGCUGAUGAUCCUAAUGAUGAUGAUGGUCCUACUAACAUAACAGUGGAUGAUGACAACAAGAUAACAGAGGAGGAGGAACUGGAUAAAGACAUCCUGGAUGAUGGAGAGGAACCCAUUGAUGCCCUGGAACUUGCCAACAGAGCCCCUACAAAAACCCCAGCUGGGAAGAAAGCAACUGAUGAUGGUACUCCAUUCCAUCCCCCUGCUCUGUUGGAAGCAUGCUUCUCUCCUGUGAGAGUCAACAAGAAGACUGAUCAAGAAAGUGUGGCCCAGAGCGUGUGCUCUUCGAUAUCCUAUGCUGAGGCAAUCAAAACCCUCAGCAGUCCACAUAGCAAAACGAAUGGGGCUAGUCUGUUUGCCGCAUCAUCAAGUGGUGUUGCUACUGCCACUUCCCCUGUGUCUGCUUAG
rnacentral:rRNA from 1 species